rnacentral:rRNA from 1 species
GUGCCAGCCGCCGCGGUAAGACGGAGGGUGCAAACGUUGUUCGGAAUCACUGGGCAUAAAGCGCACGUAGGCGGUCCGCUAAGUCAGUUGUGAAAUCCCUCGGCUCAACCGAGGAGCUGCACCUGAUACUGGCGGGCUCGAGAACGGUAGGGGUGAGUGGAACUCCAGGUGGAGCGGUGAAAUGCGUAGAUAUCUGGAGGAACACCGGUGGCGAAGGCGGCUCACUGGACCGUAUCUGACGCUGAGGUGCGAAAGCUAGGGUAGCAAACGGGAUUAGAUACCCCCGUAGUCC